UGGACUGAAGAACGUUUUCAGUUGUAACGACAGCGAGCUUGGUUUUCAGCUCCACAAGCACAAGGGAAGCGCACAACUGGCACACAAGCUAAAAUGUCUCAGCAAACCAUUAUCUCCGAAUCUGCGAGCCGCAAAAGCCUUCAGCGGCGUUUCUCAACCGUGACAUGUUGACACUCGGUUUCCACAUAUUUCCUGAGAGCGAGCUCUGCAGUUAUCUUCCUUGUUUUGACUUCCUCUUCGCUGCGUCGACGCUCGGUGGUCAAACCGACCGUCUUGUGCGCGGUGUCAUCACUGUGAGCGCUCGCAGAGGGAAGAGGAGCACGGCGCCGGGGGGCUCGCCGGUACCGGGUCGGAUGGUGCGUUUCCAGGCAUCGGGCGCGGGAGAGACCGCGCCACGGACCAGGCCCCCCACUUAGUGUAUUUGACAAGCUGAGUCGGACACUCUGUAUCAGUGAGUGUCAGUUUGUCAAAUACCCCAAGUGAGGUGUCACUUGUCUACAGACGACCCGGGGCGACCCGUCCGCCGGCGCCGGACCCGGCGGCAGAAGAAGCCACGGUGGAACGCUUUCAUGUGGAUCUGAGGAAGAAGGUUUGCAGUUGUUCAUGUAGUAGAGGUGGUGACAGAUAUUUUCUAUAUGUUAGUAUGUCCUUCUUGACAAAAUAUUUUAUUUCCUGCCUUUUUGUAAUUGGUAGAGAUAAGAUAAAUGUGCACUGAUAAUCAUCAACUUUUGGUUGCUUAUUAAUAUUAAACUGUACUAACGUGUC